GAAAUGACAAUGAAAAGAAGAGUAAUGACUUGUGAUUAUCCCAGAGAGCUUUCAACGGUGGAAGAAAGCAUAAUGGCAGGUUAUGAAGAUGAUCUUGGAGUCAGCAAUUUGGUGCUUCGGUGCUGAAUCGCCGUUUUGCAGUCGAUAUCCUGCACUUGUAUAGUCACCAUGAUGUACAGGCAAAGGUGUUGAUUGUGAAAUCAAGACAAAAAUGGGUGGUACCACGGAGAAUCCGUCCCAGAA
rnacentral:ncRNA from 1 species